UACAGAGGGUGCAAGCGUUAUCCGGAUUCACUGGGUUUAAAGGGUGCGUAGGCGGAUUGGUAAGUCCGUGGUGAAAUCCCCAAGCUUAACUUGGGAACUGCCGUGGAUACUAUCAGUCUUGAAUAUCGUGGAGGUAAGCGGAAUAUGUCAUGUAGCGGUGAAAUGCUUAGAUAUGACAUAGAACACCAAUUGCGUAGGCAGCUUACUACACGAUCAUUGACGCUGAGGCACGAAAGCGUGGGGAGCAAACAGG
rnacentral:rRNA from 1 species